ACGAGCGGCGAACGGGUGAGUAACACGUGAGCAACCUGCCCCUGACUCCGGGAUAAGCGGUGGAAACGCCGUCUAAUACCGGAUACGACCCUCCACCUCAUGGUGGUGGGUGGAAAGUUUUUCGGUCGGGGAUGGGCUCGCGGCCUAUCAGCUUGUUGGUGGGGUAACGGCCUACCAAGGCGAUUACGGGUAGCCGGCCUGAGAGGGCGACCGGCCACACUGGGACUGAGACACGGCCCAGACUCCUGCGGGAGGCAGCAGUGGGGAAUAUUGCGCAAUGGGCGAAAGCCUGACGCAGCGACGCCGCGUGGGGGAUGACGGCCUUCGGGUUGUAAACCUCUUUUACCACUCACGCAGGCUCCACGUUCUCGUGGGGUUGACGGUAGGUGGGGAAUAAGGACCGGCUAACUACGUGCCAGCAGCCGCGGUAAUACGUAGGGUCCGAGCGUUGUCCGGAAUUAUUGGGCGUAAAGAGCUCGUAGGCGGCGUGUCGCGUCUGCUGUGAAAGACCGGGGCUUAACCCCGGUUCUGCAGUGGAUACGGGCAUGCUAGAGGUAGGUAGGGGAGACUGGAAUUCCUGGUGUAGCGGUGAAAUGCGCAGAUAUCAGGAGGAACACCGGUGGCGAAGGCGGGUCUCUGGGCCUUACCUGACGCUGAGGAGCGAAAGCAUGGGGAGCGAACAGGAUUAGAUACCCUGGUAGUCCAUGCCGUAAACGUUGGGCGCUAGGUGUGG
rnacentral:rRNA from 1 species